UUUUCCUUUCUUUCUUUCUUUCUUUCUUUCUUUCCAAAACCUGGGAUGAGCAAGGUGUUCUCGCGAUUCUGGGAUCUUCAAAGAUGGCUGAAAUCCAUGGAUUCUCCGCAGUUCAUGCAAUAAUACAAAAAUGCGGUCGUUCGCCUCGAUUAUGACGCAAGCAUCCCAGGCGUAUGUCGGUUGAUUCCCUCGCCGAUGCAUGGCCACGCACUCGGAACCGAUGGGAGCCAGUAAUGAACCUUCAAAGAAGACUCGUCGCAUCGCACUUAAGGAAAAUACCGUGAUUUGUACUGUUUAUUUUGUCAAGUGAAAAGAGUGAUAACCAAAAACGAUGUUGAAUAAAUAUAUAAUAACCGA